rnacentral:piRNA from 1 species
UAAAGAUUAGUUUGUGGCCAAGCAAG